CGCUCACGGACGUGCUGGUGAAGCAUCCCCAUGUCUGGGUCAUGACCGACGACAUGUAUGAGCAUCUCGUCUAUGACGGCUUCGAAUUCACAACGCCCGCGCAGGUCGAGCCGAAACUGUUCGACCGUACGCUGACGGUGAACGGCGUGUCGAAAGCCUAUUGCAUGACCGGCUGGCGCAUCGGCUAUGCGGGCGGCCCGC
rnacentral:misc_RNA from 1 species